UACUUUCUGUGUUUAAAAAAAAAAAAUUCUGGUUACUGCUAAGUGGUUUCUUUUUUGUUUUUAGCAAGGAAAAAUAUCCAUUUGAGGCAUUCCAGAUUGUCAGCACUUUAACUUGACAGAGGGUAUAAGCCAAAGUGUUGAAACUCUUACCAGUUUCAGAGAAGUGAAGAGAAUGUGGGUUUUAUGCAAAAUAAGAUAGACUGAUUUAAAUAUUAAACAUUUAUACUGAAUUCCUAGUUCAGGCAUGUGAGGAACCUAUCACUUUUAAUAUCCAGGUAGAUUUACAUGGUCAUGGUAACACAAACUUAUGAUAGAAUGAAAGGGGCUGAGAUCUGAGUCACCUCGUCCUUCUGAAUAAGGAAAAAUCUGUCUUCAGUCACAGAGGUUAAGACUAAAAAGGACCACCAGAGCAUCCAGAAACUAGUUCUGAAACUCUGUUCAGCAUAAAACUGUCAUAGCCCAGCAUAAGCACAAAGGUUCCUUAGCCUGAAAAAUGGGGCUGGUGUUCAGGACAUAGGGGAAAAACUCCUUUCAGUAGGACUACCGUAUUCUGAAACCACCCCUUCAAGAGACAAUGUGGAGUUUACAGCCUAAACAGCCCAGGUGCAAUCAAGAAGCACCCUGCCCCGCCCUGGGGCUAUUUAUAAACAGGGAAAGACAGCUGAGUAAGAGAGAAAGGAACCAGAAGUGGUGCUGGUGAUAGUGGUUCAACUGUCCCACUGGUCACCAGCCUGACCUAGGCCUCAGAGGCUUUGUGUUCUGAUUAUUUGCUUUGACUCAACCCUCUAAGGUUGGCAGAAACGUAGGUGUAAAUCCAUUCUAUGAUGUGACAACCAGCAAUGAUGGGCAGCUCAAGGUCAGAGCCUGAUCUGCAAAGUAUCCUCACUUCUAUGUUGAAGUUGGUGGGAAUAGAGGGGGCUCAACAUGUCACAAGAGGCACUGAGUUCACUGCAGGAUCAGACCCUCACAAAGAAAGCCUUCAUCAAAUGCUUAAAUUCCUUUCUCCUACUUUCUUUCAGCUAAGAUUUUCAAGGGAAUUAAAUGCCCAAAUCCCCUUGAAACUAUGUGCCUAACCCCUUUUGGAACUGUCAGCAUUAAUCCUGGGGGUGGGACUAUGAUUUUGCUGAUAAACAAAGCAUUGAAAUUGCAUAGGAGGGAUGAAAAUCCACUUCUUGCCAUUACCUGCAUAUUACAGCUGGCCUUUGCUGCACUUGCCUUGAGAGGCCCCAAUAUUUUGUGGAUAAGCAAAUGGCAUAUGAUUGGCUCCUGUGGUGUGCAGAAUCCAUUCUACUUAAUGGGAUUUUCCUUUCUUUGGAGUUUAAGCCUGAAAGAAGCUGCUGCCCAAAAUGCCAGCCUGCAAGGUGCUGAAUACUUCCCAGAAGGUGUAUAGUGCUAGCAAGGCAGCCCUUUAUAACCCUUUGCUUCCCAAAUCAAAUCCCAUUUUAUCAUGUCUAAAAUGUGAUUAAAAUAGCAGCAUAUUAAAUACUUGGU